GAUGAGCGCUGGCGGCGUGCUUAACACAUGCAAGUCGAACGGAAAGGCCCAAGCUUGCUUGGGUACUCGAGUGGCGAACGGGUGAGUAACACGUGGGUGAUCUGCCCUGCACUUCGGGAUAAGCCUGGGAAACUGGGUCUAAUACCGGAUAGGACGAUGGUUUGGAUGCCAUUGUGGAAAGUUUUUUCGGUGUGGGAUGAGCUCGCGGCCUAUCAGCUUGUUGGUGGGGUAAUGGCCUACCAAGGCGUCGACGGGUAGCCGGCCUGAGAGGGUGUACGGCCACAUUGGGACUGAGAUACGGCCCAGACUCCUACGGGAGGCAGCAGUGGGGAAUAUUGCACAAUGGGCGCAAGCCUGAUGCAGCGACGCCGCGUGGGGGAUGACGGCCUUCGGGUUGUAAACUCCUUUCGCUAGGGACGAAGCGUUUUUGUGACGGUACCUGGAGAAGAAGCACCGGCUAACUACGUG
rnacentral:rRNA from 1 species